AGAGUUUGAUCCUGGCUCAGGAUGAACGCUGGCGGCGUGCCUAAUACAUGCAAGUCGAACGAAGAUGUUCUUGAGUUUACUCGGGAGCUCUUAGUGGCGAACGGGUGAGUAACGCGUUGGUGACCUGCCCUAAAGAAGGGAACAACCUCGGGAAACUGAGGCUAAUACCCUAUGUGCUUCUUAAGAUUAGAUGCUUUUGAAGUAAAGGUUCUGUGGACGAAAGGCUACAGUGCCGCUUUAGGAGGGGCCUGCGUACCAUCAGCUAGUUGGUAGGGUAUGGCCUACCAAGGCGAUGACGGUUAGGGGACCUGAGAGGGUGACCCCCCACACUAGCACUGAAACACGGGCUAGACACCUACGGGUGGCAGCAGUAGGGAAUCUUGCACAAUCGACGAAAGUCUGAUGCAGCAACGCCGCGUGUGCGAUGAAGGCCUUCGGGUUGUAAAGCACUUUUCUGAGGGAAGAGAAAGGACGGUACCUCAGGAAUAAGUCUCGGCUAACUACGUGCCAGCAGCCGCGGUAAUACGUAGGAGGCGAGCGUUAUCCGGAUUUAUUGGGCGUAAAGCGCGUGCAGGUGGUUUGGCAAGUUGGGUAUGAAAUCUUCUGGCUUAACUAGGAGAGGUUGCUCAAAACUGCCAGACUAGAGGACGAUAGAGGAAGGUGGAAUUCCCGGUGUAGUAGUGAAAUGCGUAGAUAUCGGGAGGAACACCAGUGGCGAAGGCGGCCUUCUGGGUCGUUCCUGACACUAAGACGCGAAAGCAUGGGUAGCAAACGGGAUUAGAAACCCCGGUAGUCCAUGCCGUAAACGAUGUGAACUUGAUGUCGGUGGUGUAAUAACCAUCGGUGUCGUAGCUAACGCGAUAAGUUCACCGCCUGGGGAGUACGAUCGCAAGGUUAAAACUCAAAGGAAUUGACGGGGACCCGCACAAGCAGCGGAGCGUGUGGUUUAAUUCGAUGCUACACGAAGAACCUUACCUGGACUUGACAUAUAGGUGGUAGGGAUCCGAAAGGUGACCGACCCCUCGGGGAGCUUAUACAGGUGCUGCAUGGCUGUCGUCAGCUCGUGCCGUGAGGUGUCCGGUUAAGUCCGGUAACGAGCGCAACCCUUGCCGUAUGUUACAUGUGUCAUGCGGGACUGCCGGUACAAAACCGGAGGAAGGUGGGGACGACGUCAAGUCAGCAUGGCCUUUAUGUCCAGGGCUACACACACGCUACAAUGGUCGGUAC
rnacentral:rRNA from 1 species